rnacentral:lncRNA from 1 species
AUUCCUGGGGAAGAAGAGAGGGGGUAACAGGGGCCAAUUUAUUUUCUAACUAAAGGACAUUUUACACACAGGAAAAGAUCAAGAGCAAAGGCUCUGAGGAGGGAGAGACCUUGUUUAAAGAAGAGAAAGAGGGCCAGCGUCACUCAGCGAUGGUUAAAGAGGAUGUGGGUUCAGGGAUGCAGACAGGGACGAGGCCACGUGAGGAUUUUUAAACCACGAUGUAAUUACCACUUGGAGCUUUUACCUUUUGUGAGUAUCCCAGAUGUACUCAUGUUUAAAAUCCACUUUAAAUGUCACUUGGUCCCUGCAAACCUCCCUAAGGAAUCCAAGCCCCUUCCUCUGCCUAGCGAAGUGUCUUACACACAAUUAGCGCAUCUGGUAAAUGUGUCCUUUUUUUUUUUUUUUGGCCCCACCUACGGCACGUGGAAGUUCCUGGGCUGGGGAUGGAACCUGUGCCACAGUAGUAACCAAAGCCAUGGCAAGUGACAACACCAGAUCCUUAACCCACUGAGCCACUAAGGAACUCCCCAGGAAAAGUCUCCUCAGUGAAUAAACUAAGUCAUCCAAUGAGGAUUCAAAUAAACUUUUUCAUGCCACGUGUUAAACAAUUUUCAAGCUUCUACCAUCAAUAUUGAGCAUCUGGAAACACUAGCAUUGUUAAGAUCAAGCACCACUUCUAGCCUAGACACAGACAUGUAGCAAAUGGAUAGUUAACAUUUUCCUCAAUUGUUUAUUUGGCACAGCAAGGGUAAUGCACCCAAAUCCAUCUGUUUUCUCUGGGGAUUUCAAAUGGUGACAAAAAGAACUUCAGGCUGACCUUCUCAUGACUCCUGACUUAUCUUUCCUGUUCUUUGUCAGAAACUUGUUAAAAAUUUUAAUACCUAUGAAUAAAUUACUAGGACACAACCUGGAAUAAGUGAAGAGUUUUUAUAUAAAAGUCAACAGCUUUGAAACAAAAAGAUAAGUUUCUUGGCGGAUGGUCUAUUCUCAGGACAUGUGAAUAGCUCAGCUGUUUAAAACACUACGCUUUUAAUAUACUUGAAAAAACUCUGGAUGUUAACCGGGAGUUAUAUAAUUAUAGGAUUAAAGACUAAACAAGACCCAAAUAAAUAAUUUAUUUCAUUAUCUAGCCUUCACAAAAGAUCUUAAAUAGCAUGCUGCGAUUUUAAACUUUAAAAACUGGAGAAAGAUUUCCGUUUACACAGUCACAUCAACAUUGUUUAUAAAUUGCGUUGCUUAUUCAAGGUCAGCCGCUGUUAUCACCAUGAUAUUUUAAAUCUUCCUAUCUUAAGUCUUCCUUUCCAGCUUAUAAUUGCGAAGAUCAUUUUACUUCCUUUCUGCAAGUUCAGGCAGUAAGUCUUUGUUACCUGAUUGUAUAUAACCACUUCGUGACACCUGGAAUGCUGUUACACAUUUUAAAUUUAUCUUGUUAUUAAUUCAGAUAUUUCUCAUUGGACCCAAAUUAUAGACCUGUCAUUAUUAAACAUCAUCAUCUUCUAGCAAAUCAAUGCCAAAGUCUAUAAAACUGACUAUUUUGUUUAGGCUUAAAUAAUACCUUUUAGAACCAACCAUUUAAUUGAGCUUUCUGUACAGUGUACUUUUCAAGACAGAGUUACUUCAAAGAUGAUCAACACCAUAAAUCAUUAGGGGAAUGCCAAUAAAAACUAGGGCCAGAUACCACUUCAUACCCACCAAGAUGCUGGAAUCAAAAACAGAGACAAUAACAAGAGCUGGUGAGGAUGUGAAGACAUUGGGACCCUCAUACACUGUUGGUGGGAGAGGAAAAUGGUGAAGCACUCUGGAAAACAAUUUUGGAGUUCCUCAAAAGGUUUAAACAGAGGUGCCAUAUGACCCAGAAAUUCCACUUCUAGGUAUAUACCCAAGAGAAAUGAGUAUGUAUGUUCACACAAAAACUUGUACAAAAUGUAAAUGGCAGUAUUAUUCUUAAUAGCCAAAAUGUAGAAAUAACCCACAUAUCCACUAAUAGAUAAAUGGACGGACAAAAUGUGGUCUUUUCAAACAAUGGAAUAUUAUUUGGCUGUGAAAAGGGCAUGCCAAUACAUGCUACAACAUGGAUGAAUCUUCGAGGUUCAUUAAGCCAAAAAAGUCAAUAACAAAAGACCAUGUAUUAUAGUCCAUUUAUAUGAAAUGUUCAAAAUAGGUAAAUCUAUAGAGAUAGAAGAAUUAGAUGUUGCCUAGGAUGAAGGGGUGGGUUGGAAAGGCGUGGGGAGUAACUGCUAAUAGAUAUGGGAUUUCUUUGGGGGUGAUAAAAAUAAUCUAAAAUUGAUUGUGGUGACAGUGGCACAACUCUGUAAAUAUACCAAAACCGACUGAAUUGCAUGCUUUAAAUGGGUGCAUGAUAGGGUAUGUGAAUAAAAUAAAACUCAAUAAAAA